rnacentral:rRNA from 1 species
GACGAACCGUCCUAACGUUGUUCGGAAUCACUGGGCUUAAAGGGCGCGUAGGCGGGCUGCCAAGUCCGGGGUGAAAUCUUUCGGCUUAACCGGAAAAUAGCCUUGGAUACUGGUAGUCUCGAGGGAGGCAGGGGCCGUUGGAACUUCCGGUGGAGCGGUGAAAUGCGUUGAUAUCAGGAAGAACACCCGUGGCUAAGGCGGCUCUCUAGUACGGUACUGACGCUGAGACGCGAAAGCGUGGGGAGCGAACAGG